rnacentral:rRNA from 1 species
AUACGUAGGGGGCAAGCGUUAUCCGGAUUUACUGGGUGUAAAGGGAGCGUAGACGGUUUGGCAAGUCUGAUGUGAAAGCCCGGGGCUCAACCGCGGGACUGCAUUGGAAACUGUCAGACUUGAGUGCAGGAGAGGUAAGUGGAAUUCCUAGUGUAGCGGUGAAAUGCGUAGAUAUUAGGAGGAACACCGGUGGCGAAGGCGGCUUACUGGUCUGUAACUGACGUUGAGGCGCGAAAGCGUGGGGAGCAAACAGGAUUAGAUCCCCUGGUAGUCCACGCCGUAAACGAUGAAUACUAGGUGUUGGGAGACAAUAGUUUCUCGGUGCCGCAGCAAACGCAAUAAGUAUUCCACCUGGGGAGUACGUUCGCAAGAAUGAAACUCAAAUGAAUUGACGGGG